rnacentral:rRNA from 1 species
UAGAUACCCCACUAUGCUUAGCCCUAAAUCUUGACACUACUCCAAAACCGAAGUGUCCGCCUGAGAACUACGAGCACAAACGCUUAAAACUCUAAGGACUUGGCGGUGCCCCAAACCCACCUAGAGGAGCCUGUUCUAUAAUCGAUAACCCACGAUAUACCCGACCACUCUUUGCCCCAUUCAGCCUACAUACCGCCGUCGCCAGUUUACCUAACUUGAAAGAACAACAGUGAACACAAUAGCCUUAACCACGCUAACAAGACAGGUCAAGGUAUAGCCCAUAGAGUGGAAGAAAUGGGCUACAUUUUCUAACAUAGAUAAUUACGGAAAGGGAUAUGAAACUUCCCCUAGAAGGCGGAUUUAGCAGUAAAGCUGGGCAAUAAUACCCUCUUAAAGCUGGCCCUGAGGCACGUACAUACCGCCCGUCACCCUCCUCACAAGCCACACGCACAAGUUGCUAACAUCAAUUUUGCGCCAAAGAUGAAGG